rnacentral:rRNA from 1 species
CUGCGGAAGGAUCAUUACCGAGUUUUGGGUCUCCUCACCGAGCCCACUCUCCAACCCUUUGUGUACCUACCUCUGUUGCUUUGGCGGGUCGCGGUUCUCCGCGGCCGGCCCCUUAACCGGGGCUGGCCUGCGCCCGCCAGAGGACCACAAAACUCCAGUCAGUGAACUUUGCUGUCUGAUAUAAAUUCAAUAAACUAAAACUUUCAACAACGGAUCUCUUGGUUCUGGCAUCGAUGAAGAACGCAGCGAAAUGCGAUAAGUAAUGUGAAUUGCAGAAUUCAGUGAAUCAUCGAAUCUUUGAACGCACAUUGCGCCCUUUGGUAUUCCGAAGGGCAUGCCUGUUCGAGCGUCAUUACACCCUUCAAGCUCUGCUUGGUAUUGGGCAGCGUCCUUUUGGACGCGCCUCAAAGACCUCGGCGGUGGCGUCUUGCCUCAAGCGUAGUAGAAAACACCUCGCUUUGGAGGACGGGACGACCGCUCGCCGGACGAACCUCUGAAUUUAUUUUCCUAGGUUGACCUCG